rnacentral:sRNA from 1 species
AAAAAGAAAAGUAGCCUUACAAGAAGCCAAAUUAAAAGCAAAGGGAUUGAAUCCGGAUGGAACUCCAGCCCUUUCAACCCUGGGUGGAUUUUCUCCAGCCUCCAAGCCAUGUAAGAUGUAUUUAGAAUUAAAAUGACUCGGGGGCACUGAAAGUGUGUCUUUAUUAGAGAGCUUUUACAUUUGAAAGUUGCAUAGAGGAAAAUGAUGUUAAGAAGCUGCUACUAUGUUCUCUCAUGGCAGUCAACUAACAUGGAAGUGGAAGCAUGGUACUUUGAGCUACAUUUAGAAACAACUUUUGGCCCUCUGUUAAAUCCAGUAGUUAACAUGUUGUUAUUAUGUCUUUUAAAAGCAUCACCAAGAGAAGUAAAAGCUGAAGAGAAAUCACCAAUCUCCAUUAAUGUGAAGACAGUCAAAAAAGAACCUGAGGAUAGACAACAGGCUUCCAAAAGCCCUUACAAUGGUGUAAGAAAAGACAGCAAGAGAAGUAGAAAUAGCAGAAGUGCAAGUCGAUCAAGGUCAAGAACACGAUCACGUUCUAGAUCACAUACUCCAAGAAGACACUAUAAUAAUAGGCGGAGUCGAUCUGGAACAUACAGCUCGAGAUCAAGAAGCAGGUCCCGCAGUCACAGUGAAAGCCCUCGAAGACAUCAUAAUCAUGGUUCUCCUCACCUUAAGGCCAAGCAUACCAGAGAUGAUUUAAAAAGUUCAAACAGACAUGGUCAUAAAAGGAAAAAAUCUCGUUCUCGAUCUCAGAGCAAGUCUCGGGAUCACUCAGAUGCAGCCAAGAAACACAGGCAUGAAAGGGGACAUCAUAGGGACAGGCGUGAACGAUCUCGAUCCUUUGAGAGGUCCCAUAAAACCAAGCACCAUGGUGGCAGUCGCUCAGGACAUGGCAGGCACAGGCGCUGACUUUCUCUUCCUUUGAGCCUGCAUCAGUUCUUGGUUUUGCCUAUCUACAGUGUGAUGUAUGGACUCAAUCAAAACAUUAAACGCAAACUGAUUAGGAUUUGAUUUCUUGAAACCCUCUA